rnacentral:rRNA from 1 species
UACGAAGGGGGCUAGCGUUGCUCGGAAUCACUGGGCGUAAAGCGUACGUAGGCGGCUUUCUAAGUCAGGGGUGAAAUCCUGGAGCUCAACUCCAGAACUGCCUUUGAUACUGGAGAGCUCGAGUCCGGAAGAGGUGAGUGGAACUCCGAGUGUAGAGGUGAAAUUCGUAGAUAUUCGGAAGAACACCAGUGGCGAAGGCGGCUCACUGGUCCGGUACUGACGCUGAUGUGCGAAAGCGUGGGGAGCAAACGGG